UCUCAUGCAUAUGAAAAAGCCAACGCUGGUUGGCGUCUCCGGUAACUACAUAGGCGGAAUAUGGGCAAACCCAGAAGAGGAGAGAUAAUUAAGACGCUUAAAUGUAAAUUUGCCGUUUGAUUAGAGCCAAUUUUCUACCCAACCAGAAAGCCCAUAAUCAAAGCUGAUUGCCCAUUAUGGUAAUUGGGCAGUUAUCGACAUUCGCCGAAGAGCGUGCGAUGACCUUUCAAGCCACCAAUAACAACAAUAGAGAAUGCGAAGAACGUUUCCUUGAAAUUGUUUUUAUGGAUUAUUUCAUUCAUAUAAAUAAAUAUAAUACGACUUGAUUUAAUUGCCUCUUACGCCAGCUGCUUCAACACUAGCUCCUCUGAUCAGUCAACAUAAAAAUUUGAUGUGUUGUGACAUGGCUCAAACUAUGAUUAAUCUCACUAGACAUAAAAUAAUCGAAUUGGAGCAACAGUGGCGCUUUCCAUAUGAUUUAGUCAUAUCAGGAAGCAAAUUGUUGGUACAGAAGACGGUGUAGUGUUUUGAGGUAGAACGACUUUCAUUAGAACCGCCGCCCAUAUCAGCCGUUUCAAAAUAUUUUGUAAGUUUUUAUUUUCAAUCGUAAAGGAAUAAACUGUGACAAUUUUGGAUUGUCACAGUUUAUUCCUGGAUUUAGGACGCACUCAAGGUCUACAUCCAUGAGGAUAAUGUUUGGCGGUGUAAAUUAAAAUAUGUAGAAACUAUCGUUCUAGUCGAAAAACAGUUCAAAGGCGCUGUUACAGUGAGCAAUUGCUUGAACUUGCAACGGUUACAGCUAAUUGCAACAGAAAAAAUGUCACCAUCAUUGGUGUGUGAAGGUUCAGCAUCUUGGAAUUUGAAAAUCAUACUUGUUAGAGAAAACCCAGUCUAACUAUAAAGUUCGACGACUUCUGGUUUUUUCUUUCGUUAAACCACCCACACUUUUUUGGAAUGGCAAAAGUCUUCCAGAUGCAAGUGAGCGUAGAAUUCAUAUGAUCUAAUUCUUAUUCAGUUUUAUUAGGUAUAUGUCAAUUAUAUUUUAUGUCCA